rnacentral:RNase_P_RNA from 1 species
UCCCCGGAACGUUCCAUCGCUCUGGCUUCGCGCCGGGGAGGAAAGUCCGGAUAACACAGAGCGCCGCACCUCCUAACGGGAGGGCGCCGUCGGCGCGAGCCGCCGGUGACAGCCAGUGCCACAGAAAAUGACCGCCCGCUUGCGGGUAAGGGUGAAAACGGGGGGUAAGAGCCUCCGGCAGCCGCGGGCAACCGCGCCUGCGGGUAAACCUUGCGGGUUACAAGGCCAAAUAAGCUCCGGUGCGCGGAAACGCGCGCAGGGUGACUCGUCCAAACGGGGGUUCCGCCAGCCGGAGCCCGCUGCCGGAGCGGGUAGGCCGCUGGAGGGCGCGGGCGACCGCGUCCCGAGAUAAAUGAUGGAAGCCCGGCCCAAAGCCGGGUACAGAAUCCGGCUUACAGGUCCGGGGGGAGC